GUAAGAGGAUAGGCAUCAGCGGCGGCACCUCCUCCCGGGGCCGGCCUGUGGCGCUGCCUUCGAGGCUCGGGUUUGAACCUGGAGGUGGGGUAAGAGCGACAGGCUCCGUCCCGAGAGGGGGUGAAGGCGGCGGCUUCUCCCCCCCCACCUCACCUUACCUCAGCCCACCGCGGUCAGUGAGAGAGUCCGGGUAAGAUGCGGCUGCCGCCCGGGACUGGGAGUCCGCCAUGGAGGAGGGGAGGAGGAGGAGGAGGGAGGGAGCGGCUGAAGAUGUAGGGGCAGGAGGGAGGCAGGCCGAGUCUCUCAGGAUGUCCGAGAGCGAGAGCGGGAGCGGUGGCGGCGGCGGCGGCGGCCUGAAGACGGUGCGGGUCUGGCGCGAGGCGGCUCGCCGCUGCCGCAAACUCCGCGGCAACUGGCGGCAGUUGAGCGCGAGCGGCCCGCGCCUCAGCCUCCCCUCGGACAUCGGGCACGUGCAGGUGCUCAACCUCGCCAACAACUCGCUGCUCGAGCUGCCCGACGGCCUCGACUCGUCGCUGUCCGAGCUGCGGGCGCUGAUCCUGCGGAGGAACCGCCUGAGGCGCCUGCCCUCCCGGCUCUGCGGCCUGCCGCUGCUCGACGAGCUCGACCUGGCGCACAACUGCCUGGCGGCGCUGCCGGCCGAGCUGGGGGCGCUGGGCCGCCUCCGCCGCCUGUGCCUCAGCCACAACAAGCUGCAGCAGCUGCCGCCCGAGGUCGGCGGCCUGUCCGCCCUCGAGGAGCUCGACGUCAGCUUCAACGAGCUGCGCCAGCUGCCGGCCAGCCUGGGCCUACUCGCCCGGCUCCGCGCCCUGGACGUCGACCACAACCGCCUGAGCCACUUCCCGCCUCAGAUCCUGCAGCUGGCCGAGCUGGAGGAGCUGGAUCUCUCCGGCAACCAGAUCCGGGCCCUGCCCCGGGACCUCCCGAGGCUGCGCUCCGUCAAGAUCCUGUGGCUGAGCAGCCUGCGCCUAUCGGCGCUGCCCGACACCUUCUGCGGCCUGGCCGCCCUCGAGAGCCUCAUGCUGGACAACAACGGCCUGCGGGCCGUGCCCGAGCGCUUCGGCGAGCUGCGCCGCCUCAAGAUGAUCAACCUGUCGUCGAACCGCCUGGAGGAGUUCCCCGGCGCGCUGCUGCAGCUCACCGGCCUCGAGGAGCUCUACCUCAGCCGCAACGAGCUGUCCGUCAUCCCGGCCGGCAUCGCCGCCUUCAGCAACCUGGCCGCCCUGUGGCUGGACAACAACAAGGUGCGCUUCCUGCCCGACUCCAUCGUGGAGCUCUCCAACCUGGAGGAGCUGGUGCUGCAGGGCAACCAGAUCGCCAUCCUGCCCGACUCCUUCGGCAACCUCUCCAAAGUCAGCCUCUGGAAGAUCAAGGACAACCCCCUGAUCCAGCCGCCCUACGAGGUCUGCAUGAAGGGCAUCCCCUACAUCGCGGCCUACCAGAAGGAGCUGGCGCUCUCGCAGCCCGCCGUCAAACCCAGGCUCAAGCUGGUGCUGAUGGGCUCCAAAGGCGCCGGCAAGACCUCUCUCAGGCAGUGCCUGGUUGGGAAUGCACCUUGUGCCCCUGCAACUCACGCCAAGGGAAUCGAGGUGACCCAGUGGGUGGCGGAUGCUGAGAAAAACCUGACCUUCAUUGUCUACGACUUGGCUGGGGACCAGAACUAUGAUCUUAUCCAGCCCUUCUUCCUCUCCCCGGGUGCGCUGUACGUGCUGGUGGUCAGCCUGAGAGCCUAUGCCCCCGAUCGGUUUUAUGAGCUGGUUGGGUAUUUCUUGCACUUGCUCGGUGCCAGGGUCCCUCACGGGGUCGUGUGUGUGGUGGGAGCGCAUGUGGACCAAUGCAAUGAGAAAGAGGUGGAGGAAAAGUGCCUGGACAUCCAUCAUCAGAUCGCCCUGCAGGAGAAGAGAGAUGUUGAGUCCAUGCAGGCUGUGGCCGAGAAGGUGGAUGGGGCACUGGGGCAAGAAUUUGACCUGCGAGCUACAAGCCCACAUGCACCCUUUUACGGAGUCUCUGAUAAGAAUUUGAGGAGGAAGAAGGCCCAGGUACAGUACCUAUUGAACAACCGUCUUCAGAUCCUGUCCCCAGUUAUCACUGUCAGCUGUCAGGGGGACCAUGUUGGAAUUACUCGCUUGAAGGAAAAGCUUCUUUCUGUGGCUGAACAUAGAGAGAUUUUCCCGAAUCUGCAUAGAGUCUUACCCAAAUCCUGGCAGAGGCUGGAGGAACUGCAUUAUAAACCUCAAGAGCUCUGGCUUUCCUGGUGGGAUUCUGCCAGGUUGGGAUUACAAGCUGGUCUUACUGAGGACCGACUCCAAAGCGCCCUGUCCUAUCUGCACGAAAGUGGCAAGCUGCUGUAUUUUGAGGACAGUCUGACUCUCAAAGAGUGCGUCUUUCAUAACUUGACCAAGCUGAUUGACAUCCUGAAUGUCUUCUUCCAGCGCGAUGCCUCAGUUCUGCUCCAGAAACUCUUGGCAGAUGCCAACAUUGAUGAGCUGAGGGCAACACAACUCCAUCAUUAUGUGGAGGGAUUCCUGCUUCAUGGACUGCUCCCUCUGCACAUCAUUCGUCUGCUUCUCAAGCCGCAUAUUAAAACUCAGCAGGAUCUUCAUUUGAUUCUGGAACUACUGGAGAAGAUGGGACUCUGUUACUGCCUCAACAAACCUAAAAUUACCCCUAUAAAUGGUGUACCCAUUUGGUUUAAAUUUCCCUGUUAUGUGAAAAAUGAAGUUCCCCAUGCAGAAGCCUGGAUCAAUGGGUCCAACCUUUCUGGACAACAGUUGGCAAUUGAACAGCUCCAAGUGGAGUAUAGUUUCCCUUUUUUGUUCCCACCAGGCUUAUUUCCCAGAUAUAGUGUCCAGAUCAACUCUCAUGUUGUACACCGGUCAGAUGGCAAGUACCAGAUCUUUGCUUACAGGGGCAAGGUUCCAGUGGUGAUCAGUUACAGACCAACCCAAAGUAGCUUGCAAGCAGACACCUUAUCUAUUGCUAGUCAUGCAUCUUUGCCAAAUAUUUGGACUGCAUGGCAAGCCAUAAUUCCUCUGAUGGAAGAACUGAAUGUACUCCUCCAGGAAUGGCCGGGGUUAUACUUCACUGUGCAUGUCCUGUGCUCUAAGUGCCUUAAAAGAGGGUCUUCAAAUCCUCACACCUUUCCAGGGGAGCUACUGACCCAGUCCAGACCAGAAGGAGUAACUGAGAUCAUCUGUCCCAAAAAUGGGAGUGAGCGAGUGGAUGUGGCUUUGGUCUAUCCUCCGACCCCCACUGUGAUCAGUCCCUGUUGUAAGUGAGCAGUGGGCCAUCGGGCUAGUCUUCAUCAAAAACAAAACCUUUAAAAUUCUGUUCAAUUAUUUGGCAGGCAACAAGGUUUUGGAAAGAAUAAGGUUGACACUAAGCUGAAGUGUUCGUGACCAGUUGUGGAUUGUUUAUUUGGAUAUGCGGAAGGAAAUGGCUAACUUGCAGGUGCUCUUCAACAAUGGAUUUGCAGCAGUUCCAUGAUGGGCCCACAACAUUGGAGAUGUUGUACAUGAAUGAACUAAUAAUUGUCUGCGCACAGCAUAGAAAGAGGCUCCCCUGUCCACUGCAAGUUGUCCUUCCAUGGAUUUCAUUAUUUGAAAGCAAGCUGACCUGAUGCACCCAUUCUUCCAACAAAUAGCGCAGACGCAGUGUUCCACAACUUAUUUUUUGGAAUAGGUGGCUCUUCAGGGAUUUUCUUUUGCAGUGUUUUACUAAAGCCAUACUUUCAGUGUUGUCUGUCGGAAUAAAAUGCCAAAUGCAACUGUUCUGCCCUCGAGCCUGAGGCAUAGAUGGUCUAGAGCAUAUCAGCACUAUUUUGAUUUUUGAACCUAAUGAAAGAUUUAAUUUUAAAGCUUUCAAGAACUGUCUGUGCAAUACUCAGUGUGAUAAAAUAAUCGUACUCGCAUUGUGUUAUCUGCAUUGUCCUCCUUGUUAAUAGUUGAGCAAGGUCCCAAUUGUUCCUGAUCUGAUUCAUCAUACUUUCCACUACACGGAGGAAUGGGCUAAAGCUGCAAGGUCCCAUUGUUUCCAUUUAUUUGUUCAGGGUUAUUAGUCAAAGUGGAAUCCUGGUAAACAAGUAGCAUUUGGAAGAUGCGUUUUCUUGACAAAAUAAUGUCUUAAUCGACACACAACACCUGCAUUAUUAUUUCAUCCUAUCUGUACCCUGCUGAAGUAUGUUUUCCCUUCUCUCUGGGAGCCUCCUCAUCCCUGGGUUGCUACAUUGUAAAUUCAAGUCCUACUCUAGACCUUAAACUAAUAAUCCAGCUGACACUUCAGUAUAGCACCAAGGGAGUAUCAUAAUCUAAAAUGUUUUUGUCUUUUAGUAUUGAGAAAAAUCCAAAAACAUUAUUUGGAGAAGUGUAGGGGAGUUAUCUUGUUGUUUUGGGCAACAUUCGUCCCUUAACGAACAUCACCAAAGAAAAACUUCGCCUGUUAUUGUUUUGAUUGCUGUUUGUGGGAUCUUGCUGUAUGAGAACAAUUGACUGUUUUUGUACAAAAUAGUCACUGCAUUUCAGAAAGUAUUCAAUGGAAUGUGAACCAUUUGGGGACAUUCUGAGAGCAUGAUAAGGCAGUUUAUUAGGACAAGUACUUUCUGCUGCACAGGGCUUUUCAAAGUUAUGCACCUACAAAUCAUUUUUGUUAAAUUAACACAUCUGAAGAGAAGAAGUAAAAUCAGUGCAGCUUACAAAUAUUUUAUUUUUAUGUUGCUAAUAAAAUGACUAUUGCAAUGGAACUGAAACAUUUGCACAUCAAGUCACCUUGGAUAAAUGACAUUUAUUAAAAGGAUCAAUGGAAACUUUUCUGUUUCAGUUUUAUGAUCGCUGCUACACAGGCACAGAAUGAUGUACACCAAUUGAAUGAAGUUCAUAAGUUUGCUGGUGCUGUAGAAAGUUGUUUUGAUAAACGUUGUUCUAAAUAUUUAUUCCAGGAUAUAAUGAGACUGUCAAAGCUAUAUUUGUUAUCCAUCCCUUGUUAUCCUAAAGUAUCACUUUUACAACUAAAGUGUAUGUAAAGCCACUUAACAGAUCACUGUAGUGUAUCUUAUAUAGACAGAUAAAGUAACAUUAGUGAACUGGUUGUGAUUUUACAAUAUAACAGAAGGUCAUCCUAUUGUCCUCUGAUGCCAUCCUUUGAAUCAUGGAUGUAUUAAGUUGAAUUCCCCCCCCCCCCCCAAGACCUUGUGACCAAGAGCUAAUGAAUGACCAGUCAAAGGAUCACACAGUGACAUAUUCUACUCUGAAAGUUUCACUUGGGAGUUUUGAUAUCAGUUGGAGUCCAGGGAGAAACUUAUACACGAUUGCAGCACCUGCUGCAACCAAAUGAAAGUGGAAUGGCUUCCUUUGAAAAAUGUAUCUCAGAUUCAACAGGGAAAAGACAAUGAUGGCAAAUUCUGGUCAACAGUGGUCUCCUGUGCUAUUUGAAGCAGAAGCGUCCAGACACACAUCGGUCUCAGCAGUGACCCCAUGAAGUAGCUUCCUACCAACUCUGGUCAUGGUCAACUUCGUCUCAAAGAAGAAAGGCAGAUAUUUGAAUUUGUUUACUUUAUCUUAGACUCACCUAUACUCAGCAUCAAUAUCUCUCUGCGGUAGAGAAUUCUGAAAACACUUCAUCUCCUCACAGUUUUAGAUGGCCAUUCCCUAACUCAGAGUCUGAGCCAGAAUGCUAAACUCCCCAGGAGAAUCAGUGCUGAACCUUAAUGCUCAUACUUUCUAGGGAAAAUCUGUCCUUUCUUGGGUAAGGAAACCAAACUGUACACAAUAUUCCAAAUGUGGCUGUAGCAAGGCUCCCAAAAAAAACCCCAGAAUUUCUUUCUUGUACUCCAGUUGGAUGAUAGGUUAACAUAGCGUUUGCUUUCUUAGUUUUCUGUAUUUAAGCUGUACAUGAAUGUAUAUGAUUCAUGUAUGAGAACACCCAGGUCCUUGUGCAUGCCAACAUUUCUCUGACACUCUCCACUCAAAAUGUUCUGCUUUUCUAUUUUCUGCCAGUGUGGAUACCUUCACAUUAUACUCUUAUCUGCCAAGUUUUUGCACAUCCUUAAUUAAAUCUCUUUGCAGUCCCUCUGUACCCUUGCACAGCUUAUUUUCUUAUUACUAUAUUUCUUCAAACUUGGUUAUGAUAUACUCUCUCCCCUCGUUUAUAUCAUUGAUCUAAAUUGAACGUUGCUGAAGCCUAAGCACUGAGUCUGCAGUAAACCACUACCUUCUAGAUGCAAUCAAGAAAAAUGACCUGCUGUUUGGACAGAUGGUUGUGUAUAAACUACUACUCCUCCAUCUCACAAGGCUUGUUUUUUUAAAUGUAAUUACUGAUUGUUUUUUGAGAAUCCUGUGGUUCUCUUCCCCCUCUCUCUUCACCCCCCCCCCGACCCACAUCAAGCCUAUUUGUUGCAUCAUCUUAAACUCUUAACAGAGCUGUGAACCCCUACUCCCCUUUCAGCAAUUAAUAUUGUCUGUAUUUAAUCAGGGUAUGGUUUUUAAAUUGCUCUUAUAACAGAUUCUAGCAUUUUCCUUAUUGCUGAGGUCAAGCUAAGUAGCUUGUAAUUCCCUGUGUUUUCUUUCUUGAACAGCUAGGUUAUCUUCUAAACCCUAAAAUAAAGGGAAUUCUGGAAUAUCAAACCAAUGCAUCUACUAUCUCUAGCUACUUCUCUUAAAAUUCCAUGGUAUUAUUCAUCACGUCAAAGACAUUUGUUUGCUUUUACUCUCAUUAAUUUUUUCUGCACUAUUUCUUCACCAAUCUGUUCUCCACUUACAUUUGAAUCUUGGAUUCCCUUACCUUGGAUGCUUUUUUGUGCUCUAUAUCAUAUUAGGGGAAAAAAAACAAGGUUUUGCUACAGUUUUACAGGGCUCUGGUGAGACCAUAGUUAGUCCUGUGCAUACAUUUGGUCUCCUUGCUUGAUAGUGCAGUAGCUUUCAUUGAAUUUUCACAGAAUGGAAAAAAGCCCUAGGCCUAUCAUGUCUGCACCGGUCAACCUAUCUGUUCAAAUCCACUGUUCAAGCACUUUGCCCGUGGCCUUAUAGGCUGUAGCAUUUCAAGUGCUUAUUCAAAUAUCUUGAGUUUCUAUCUCUAUCACACUUUUAAAGCAGUAAGUUCCAGAUACCUACUACCCUCUGCCAAAAAAAACUUUUUUCCUCAAAUCUCUGAACCUCUUAUUCCUCACAUUUAACUGUGCCCACUGAUUAUUGACUCCUCUACUAAUAGAAAUACUUCCUUUGUUUCUCCCCAUCAAUCCUAUCUAUGUUUCUCAUAACUUUGCAUGAUUCAAUCAGGUUCUGUUCUCGAUAUUCUCUGCUCUAAGGAAAACAACCCCAGUCUUACCUGGUCUCUCUUCAUAGCUGAAUCACUCUGACCCAGGCAACACUGUGGUGAAUCUCCUCUGCACCUUCUCUAGUGUCAUCACAUCUUUCCAAUAGUGUCGUUUAAUUGAUCAUUCUUCAAGUGAGAAGGUUGACUCUUCAUGAAGUGGACAGCAGUAUCAGCAAAUCUUCAUGAAUGCAUGAUGGAUAUUACAAAACAUGGUUGUGUAUUCCCAACAAGGACCUCAUUCCGUCCCAUUGAAUGAUAACUCUACGAGUUAGAGGUUACCUGUCUCUAAUACGAUCAGGGCUGGCAGUAAACUGUUUCAUGUGCAAUUGUUUUCAUGUUCACCCUGUGAGUUUUUAAAAAUUCGACCUCAGGAUGAGACUCUCGUUGACAGGCUCAACAAUUUACCGUCCUUUCCAAAAAUUGGUCUCUGCAAGUGUUGGUGGCUGCCUCUUUGAAUCCUUAGCAGAUACUUGAUGCAACUGAGCUGCUGACUUGACUGACCACUUUGAAGAACAGUUAAGAGGUUGUCAAAUUGCUGAAGGACUGUGAUAGGGUGAGGUGCCAUAUGUACAUCAGACCAGCGAAGGGCAACAGGUUUCUUUCACAAAACACAUCGGUGAGUCUGCUAAGAGCCAGUGGUGAAUCCAUCAGAUAUUUAAUCCAGGCCCUAAUGUUUUUAGUCCAUAUCUUGGAGAACACCCUUGCCUGUAUUGAGAUUGACAUCUUCCCCCACAUUGUGAUGCUCCAUUUCUUUCAGUGAAGGAUCAUUUUGCCAUUUGUCCACCAGACACAUUCUACAUUAAACAUGUGGCUGGUGAGAGCCCUUCUGCAUGACAAUUGGAAGCAAUUUCUCAUUCCUGAUGUUUCCUGUUUAUUUUGAUGCUGACCAUUCAGUCCUAUUAAUAUUUAAUGGAUUCUGGACGUUCACCUCCUUACAGAUGCUGCCUUGUCUGAUGAAAAUCUUCUGUUUUUAUUUUAAUGAUUUCUGUUCUUUUCCAGCUAUUGCAAACAGCAGUUAACCAAAUUAGAGAAUCUUACAGCACAGAAAGAAGUUCAGCCUGGCAGCUGUUUGAAAGAGUUAACCAAUUAAUCCCUCCAUGGUUCUGCAAAUGUUUACUUUUUGGGUGGCCUUUUAAUUAUUAUGUGUACACAGUUACAAUAAGUCCGUUAGUGUUGGUGAAUUUAGCACUAGGUCUUAACCUGUAUCUAUUUGAAAUUGAGUGACACAAAGACCAAGCACCAAUUUGUUGACCCCUGCACCAGCAGUGUUUUUGAACUAGAGCAAGUAAUUCUCCUUAAAUUUUUAAAGUAUAAUCCUAGUGAGAAGAAAAACAUUUUGGUAUGGAGCUGCAAAUGGGGAGCAGGAGCAACCCUGCUUCAUGGAAAAGUAUUUUUCAAAUACAGAUGGUGGCCCAACCCCAGGAGCUGCCAGCCCAAUCAAAGCUUGAACUCCCUCAGCAGUGCCACCAGCAGCAGUGGCCAGUGCUGAUGCUGCAGCUGCAGUCAAGGAUGCCUCAGUGGCUUGUGUCCUCUUAAAGGAAUAAGCAAUGGGGGAAUGACAAGGAUCAAAAUGCAUGCCCUGCUGGGACAUUGCCCUUAAUUGGCUACUUAAUUGUUUCAGUUGGGUUCCUGCUGGCCAGGUGAUCUGCUAAUUGCCAUACCGUUGGGAAAAUAACACAGCAGUGAGAAGAUAUUGAGUGUUUCCCAAACCCCCAUAACACCCAUCUGUACCAUUAGUCUAGCCUUCCUUCCUGCCAAUACUGUUUAAUUUUCAUUAGCCACCCAAUCUGAUAAUGUCACACAAUCUUUGGGUGGAGACAGGGUGUUCCACAUUAGCUUUCAUCAGGAAUAAAUGUUUUCUGUACAGCUGCCUGUGAGUCCUUUAUAAUUAUGCCUGACUAGUACUGUAGUUGUAUUAAUUGUUAUCAUGCAAUAAACUCUUGUUAAAGAAAA